GACAGAGGGUGCGAACGUUGUUCGGAAUUACUGGGCGUAAAGCGCGUGUAGGCGGCAGCGCAAGUCGAGUGUGAAAGCCCCCGGCUCAACUGGGGAGGGUCAUUCGAUACUGAUCGACUCGAAGGCAGGAGAGGGUAGUGGAAUUCCCGGUGUAGUGGUGAAAUGCGUAGAUAUCGGGAGGAACACCAGUGGCGAAGGCGACUACCUGGCCUGUUCUUGACGCUGAGGCGCGAAAGCUAGGGGAGCAAACGGG
rnacentral:rRNA from 1 species